rnacentral:rRNA from 1 species
CAGCCGCCACGGUAAUACGUAGGUCCCGAGCGUUGUCCGGAUUUAUUGGGCGUAAAGCGAGCGCAGGCGGUUAGAUAAGUCUGAGGUUAAAGGCUGUGGCUUAACCAUAGUACGCUUUGGAAACUGUUUAACUUGAGUGCAAGAGGGGAGAGUGGAAUUCCAUGUGUAGCGGUGAAAUGCGUAGAUAUAUGGAGGAACACCGGUGGCGAAAGCGGCUCUCUGGCUUGUAACUGACGCUGAGGCUCGAAAGCGUGGGGCGCAAACAGGAUUAGAUACCCGCGUAGUCCCUGUCUCUUAUACA